UACGGGGGGAGCAAGCGUUGUUCGGAUUUACUGGGCGUAAAGGGCGCGUAGGCGGUCUGUCGCGUCGGCUGUGAAAUCCCGAGGCUCAACCUCGGGUCUGCAGUCGAUACGGGCAAACUGGAGUGUUGCAGGGGAGACUGGAAUUCCUGGUGUAGCGGUGAAAAUGCGCAGAUAUCAGGAGGAACACCGGUGGCGAAAGGCGGGGUCUCUGGGGCAACAACUGACGCUGAGGAGCGAAAAGCGUGGGGGAGCGAAACAGG
rnacentral:rRNA from 1 species